rnacentral:rRNA from 1 species
ACGGGUGAGUAACACGUGGGCAAUCUGCCCUGCACUCUGGGACAAGCCCUGGAAACGGGGUCUAAUACCGGAUACUGACCCGCUUGGGCAUCCAAGCGGUUCGAAAGCUCCGGCGGUGCAGGAUGAGCCCGCGGCCUAUCAGCUUGUUGGUGAGGUAAUGGCUCACCAAGGCGACGACGGGUAGCCGGCCUGAGAGGGCGACCGGCCACACUGGGACUGAGACACGGCCCCAGACUCCUACGGGAGGCAGCAGUGGGGAAUAUUGCACAAUGGGCGAAAGCCUGAUGCAGCGACGCCGCGUGAGGGAUGACGGCCUUCGGGUUGUAAACCUCUUUCAGCAGGGAAGAAGCGAAAGUGACGGUACCUGCAGAAGAAGCGCCGGCUAACUACGUGCCAGCAGCCGCGGUAAUACGUAGGGCGCAAGCGUUGUCCGGAAUUAUUGGGCGUAAAGAGCUCGUAGGCGGCUUGUCGCGUCGGUUGUGAAAGCCCGGGGCUUAACCCCGGGUCUGCAGUCGAUACGGGCAGGCUAGAGUUCGGUAGGGGAGAUCGGAAUUCCUGGUGUAGCGGUGAAAUGCGCAGAUAUCAGGAGGAACACCGGUGGCGAAGGCGGAUCUCUGGGCCGAUACUGACGCUGAGGAGCGAAAGCGUGGGGAGCGAACAGGAUUAGAUACCCUGGUAGUCCACGCCGUAAACGGUGGGCACUAGGUGUGGGCAACAUUCCACGUUGUCCGUGCCGCAGCUAACGCAUUAAGUGCCCCGCCUGGGGAGUACGGCCGCAAGGCUAAAACUCAAAGGAAUUGACGGGGGCCCGCACAAGCGGCGGAGCAUGUGGCUUAAUUCGACGCAACGCGAAGAACCUUACCAAGGCUUGACAUACACCGGAAACAUCCAGAGAUGGGUGCCCCCUUGUGGUCGGUGUACAGGUGGUGCAUGGCUGUCGUCAGCUCGUGUCGUGAGAUGUUGGGUUAAGUCCCGCAACGAGCGCAACUCUUGUCCCGUGUUGCCAGCAGGCCCUUGUGGUGCUGGGGACUCACGGGAGACCGCCGGGGUCAACUCGGAGGAAGGUGGGGACGACGUCAAGUCAUCAUGCCCCUUAUGUCUUGGGCUGCACACGUGCUACAAUGGCCGGUACAAUGAGCUGCGAUACCGCGAGGUGGAGCGAAUCUCAAAAAGCCGGUCUCAGUUCGGAUUGGGGUCUGCAACUCGACCCCAUGAAGUCGGAGUCGCUAGUAAUCGCAGAUCAGCAUUGCUGCGGUGAAUACGUUCCCGGGCCUUGUACACACCGCCCGUCACGUCACGAAAGUCGGUAACACCC